GCCCGAGUGAUGGAAUGGCAGACAUACAGGACUUAAAAUCCUGAGCUUCGAAAGGGGCGUGUGGGUUCGAGUCCCACCUCGGGUA
rnacentral:tRNA from 1 species